rnacentral:rRNA from 1 species
CAGUAGCCGCGGGAAUACGUAUGUCACGAGCGUUAUCCGGAUUUAUUGGGCGUAAAGCGCGUCUAGGUGGUUAUAUAAGUCUGAUGUGAAAAUGCAGGGCUCAACUCUGUAUUGCGUUGGAAACUGUAUAACUAGAGUACUGGAGAGGUAAGCGGAACUACAAGUGUAGAGGUGAAAUUCGUAGAUAUUUGUAGGAAUGCCGAUGGGGAAGCCAGCUUACUGGACAGAUACUGACGCUGAAGCGCGAAAGCGUGGGUAGCAAACAGGAUUAGAUACCCGAGUAGUCCCUGUCUCUUAUACA